rnacentral:rRNA from 1 species
AUAUUUGUUUUUUAUUUAUUUUUUGGUAUUGCAUAUCAGAAAUUGAAAAUUUUAUUUGUUAAUGAAAAAUAGAACUAAGAGGUAGAGAAAGUAAAGGUUUUAUUGUUUUAAAAUAAAAGUUAUAUUUUCUGGUGUUGAUAUGUCGGCUCUUAUGAUAUCUGUUUUGUUAAAUAUUUACUAGAAAAUUGUAUUUUUAUAUAAAAGAUAUUGGAAGAUGGUGAUUUGAAGUGUUCUUAGUAUUUUGUUUUAUAACAGUUUUCAUGUUUUUUUGGGGGAGUUAUUUAGAUUUUAAAGAUUUUUAAAAUUUUAUAGUGGUUUCAUUAGUAGUUGAUUUUAAGGUAAGGUUUAUGUGAUUAAAAUUGUAAAGAGAAAUAAAGUUCUGGUCAAAUGUUUAUUAAAGUCUUAGGUUUUAAGUUAAAAUUCGCCUCUGCUCCAUGAAGGUUUUAAAUAGCAGUCUUAGCGUGAGGACAUUAAGGUAGCAAAAUAAUUUGUGUUUUUAUUGGAUUCCAGUAUGAAUGGGGUUUUGGUCAGUAUUUUUCUUUAAUAAGUAUGAAUUUAAGGUCUUUUUAAUAAAUAGAGGGUUUAUUUAAACAAAGAUAAGUCUUUGGAAAUUCUAUUAAUUCUUUAAUUAAGUUUUCUAGGGUAGAAUUGUUUAUAAUUAUUUGUUGCUAAAAAUAGUAGAAAGAAUUACUCCAGAGUUAACAGAAAAUCAUAUCUUAUCUAGAUCUUAUAGUAAGAUAAGUUUUACAUCGAUGUUGUAUUUUAUUUUUGAAAAAAGUAGAAGAUUUUUUAAUUUGAGACUGUUCUUCUUGAAAUAAAUGAACGUGAUAUUAGUUUAGCCCAUUGUGAAAUAGGGCGGUUUAUCUUGUUAAUUAAUUAUUUUUAAUUUAAUUAGUACGAAAGGAAUAUUAUAUAGGCUUUGAGCCUUUAGAAGUUGUGAAACUUAUUUGU